GUAUUCUUCUGCUCUUUGAAUCUAAAUCUUGUACUUCUUUUGAUUUUCGCGUAAAAAUAUGAUUUUAGCGCAUGAAGUUCUGGAACCCAUUGGUUUAUGUCUGUAGGAUUUUCAUUUGGUGAUUUUUGUCUUAUUUUUUAAGAUACCAUGGCUGGAGAAACUCAUGCUUUUGUAAAUCUUAAAGAUAUGGACUGAGUUGCACUUUUCCGAAUUUGAGGUUUAAGAUCAUGAUGGUUGCGUUCGUACGAUGGAUGUAAGGAAGCUGAUUGCUUUAUUUGAAACGAUGAGCAUAAGUUGUUUGUCAAACGUGGAUAUGUUAAGAUGGAAUUGGACAUAAAUCUGUAUCGGCUUAAAAUAUUGUGUGCAACUUCAUAAUUUGGUAUGUGUUCCUGGGUACUUUGAAUGGUACUUUAAAUAUUGUGUGCAACUUCAUAGUUAGGAUUAUAUGUUACUGGGUCUGGGUACUUUAAAUCCUUUGUUGGGGCGAUGGGCAUGAGAGUCAUUAGCAUACAGGCCUCAUCGUCUAUAUGAUUUCUUAGUGAUGUGCUAUGGUAACAGAUUGUACCACGAGAUGGACAGCUACGGAGCAGAUCAUUCUGUUUAACAAUGACUGCUCGCGAUAUAUCAUAUUGACUCCAACUCAUAGUCAGAAACCACUUAGUAUCAUAUGUACCUUAAGCUAAAGGUUAUCUGGUUUCUAUGGAGUUGAUUUUAUAGAUGAAGGUCAGAUUCAAGAAGCUUGAGAAAAUUCUGAGUCCAGCUCUCAAGAUGACACCAAACCUCUUGUAAUUGGUGCUGUAUAUCUGGCGAAGGCAGCUCUGGGAAAGUAAGCGGAUAUAACGGAUCAAAGAGUGCUAGCUGAUUCAUUGCAUGUCUUUUGCUCAGGGGAUCAUAAUACAUCGAUAAUACAAGUAAUUCAAGCAUUGUUUAGAUGAGGCUUCAUAGCAUGAAUGACACAAGUCUCAUCCAGGCAUGUUACUAAUGUUGCAAGGAGAUGGCUAGUUCCAAAUGGUACCUUUGUUGCAGAAUACUGUGUGACAUGAGGGUGUCUGAUAUGUGUAAUAAAUAGUUAAAUUAUGAGUCAUACUUUGUAAUUGCCAGUUGUUUGCAACAGAUUAAAGUGAAUAGCGAUCAAUCCUUGUCAUAGGAAUUUAAACUUUUAGUAGAUUGAAUUAUAGGUUACAUUGAGGUAUAUUAUCAUGCUUUAACACUCAAUCAAAUACAGGAUCUUGCCCCUUUUUUUUGUUUCCAUGAAAAUUUUGGAUAAUUAUGGCCUCUAAAAAUUUAUUAAGGGUGUCUUUGGAGUGUAUCUACCUUCACAUAGACACCUUAAAAUACCUUGCUGACAAUUGGAUAAAUUGAUGCCUUAUAUAGAUGACUUAGGGUUUAAAUUUUAAAACCUUAUGAGUGAACAUAGAGUAUAGAAUUUCUCUUUUUUUUAAAAAACCAAAAAGAGAAAUGCAUUUCAAAAAAAAAAAACAAGAGAGAGAGAGAGAGAGAGAGAGAAGAAUGUAUCCAUCUCUUCUUGUCUUGAUCCUCUACUCCCCCUGGACAGGUGGCUAUCUGAGGUAGCAUUGCAGGGUUGGCCCACCGUGAUUGACCAUGGCUGGUUGGAGGGGCACAGAGUGUGUGCCCUGUUUGUCCAGGGGGGAGCAGAGGCGGGACGAGGGCCUCGUCCGGCAGGUAUUCGGGGAGCACCUUGCUGAGCGUGUUCUAGCUCAGCCGAUCCCAGAGGGGGAGGUAGCGGAUAGGAGGGUGUGGAGUCAAACUGGGAGGACGACUGUGAGUGCCUGGGACCUCUCGUGGGUAGACAGAGGGUCCUCGGUGCGACAGAUAGAUUGCAGCUGGAUAAGGAGGAUGCACAUUCACCCCCGAGUGGCCUUGUUCCCGUGGAAGGUGGCUUGGGGGUGUUUACCUACCAGUGGAGUGUUGGUGAGGCGGGGAGUGAGGAUCCUGCCGGAUGUGGAGCUUGUCAGGCGACGAAGGAGUCCAUUUACCAUGUUCUUUUUGGGUGCCCGAGAGCCAGUCAGAUAUGGAGAUGUGCCUCAGCUCAACCUGACCAGGGGCAGAUGUGGGCGUCCACCGAGGAGUUCCUACGACAUUUGGAGGUCUCAGCUCGGGAGUCCGGACGGGAGAAGAGGGGGACUGGUGAUGCCUACCUGGCCCAUCAUUGCUGGCUGGAUAGGAAUGCACGAGUUUUCGAUGGCGAUAGCCCCCACCCGAGGGUGGUGGCCGACCGAGCUUACGACAUGCGGCGGAGAUCACUGGCACCAUUGAGGCUUCACCUACUGGGUUGGUCAGGGACAUUUGGGGCCUUCAUUCUGCUCUUGCAGCAUCCAGGACGAUAUUGGUAUCCUGGGUGCCCCCACCCCCUGGCUAUCUCAAAGUAAACUUCGAUGAGAGUGUAGCAGAGGACGGGAGCUACAGAGGUGUGGGAUUUGUCAUCAGAGAUCACGACGCCAGACAUGUGGCAGCAGGUGGGUGGAGGAUUUUUGACUCGUCAGUAGUGACCGCUGAGCUUCGGACGGCCUGGGAGGGUGUCUCCUAUGCGAGGCGGGUACUAGGUGCGGGUUGCAUCCUCCUUGAGGGGGAUUCGACCAUGGUGAUUGAGUGGAUCCGGGGAUGGAGGUGCUCAAUCGAGGACCGGUCGCUGCUCCACGAUAUUCGCAGAGCUCUGAGGGAGACUGACUCUUAUCAGGCCACGCACGUAUAUCGGGAGGCGAACGGUGCUGCAGAUUGGGUUGCUUCCUUCGCGGCUCAUCAUUCGGAAGAUUUUUUCUGGCUAGACCACGGGGCUGUGCCUAUGCCUUUGUGCAGUAUUUUGUUUUUUGAUUUUGUUGGCUGUUUUUACACUCGCCAAGUGUGAGCCGCUGAUUACCAAAAAAAAAAUCCUCUAUCCUAUCAAGCUUUCAUGAAUGAAAGCAUGCUGAGUUCCAUCUUAAAGCCCAGAUCAAAAAAACCUUUCAUUUUGUUCCAAAUGUGGUUCAUGCUUUUAUCCUAUAGCAUUUUUCCUUCCUUCUAAUUACGGCGCAUGAAAUGAUGAGGGUUGCAUAUGUGCAUGUGAAGACAACCUAACAUUUGGAUGUUUGAGAUUGGAUGUUCGUAUGUUGAGAUUGAAUAUUCAACUAGUGAGGACCUUCCACAAAGCAACAAAAUUUGAAUGCUUGUUAUCAUUCCAGUAACUACAACCUAAGAUUGAAAAAUGCGAGGAGCAUCAUAGGGGCUGGUGAGAUCAUCCUGGAAGGAGAUUCCGCUAUGGUAAUCGAUUGGAUUCAGUACGCUGAGCGACAUGUAGAUGACCAUCCUCUUCUUAGCGAUAUAUGACAGAUGGUUAGAGAUUGUGACUCAUUUCAGGUUGCUCAUGUGUACCGGAAGGCGAAUAGGGUGGCUGAUUGGGUUGCUUCCUUUGCUGCCCAUUAUUCCGAAGAGGUCUCAUGGACAGGGUCUGAGAUUGUACCCCUAUCUUUAUGCCACAUAUUGUAUCUUGACUCUGUUGGUUGCACUCACGCUAGAUUAACGUGAGCAACCGUUUUACCAAAAAAGAUUGAAAAAUGUGGUUUGGUUAAAAUCCAAAUUUAUUAGGGUUACACUGGACUGCAUCUUUUAGGAAUUAUUAUUUGACAUCACAAAUGGUAUGGCAGUUAAUAUCUGAAGUUACCUUGGGUCGAAGAAGAUGAUGCAUCCAUAUUUGAAUGCAUCAUAAUUUAAAAUUCUUGUCUGAUGCUUGUGAUGGAAUUGCAUUUGGGAUUGUAAGUAUCAGAGUAAUGCAGUUUAUGUUGCUUUUGUUGUGGUAGACUCAGCUGAAGUGAACAAAACCUGCACCAAUUACAUUCCUGCUUUUGAAACUCGUGUGAACAUAAAAAAUGUUAGACAUGAGCCAUUACAUUCUUUUUAAUAUGGAAAGCCCUCAUGUCUUGAUAUCUACCAAUUCCAUGUCGAACUGAGUCGAAAACUAGUGGAUACUAUUUUGCAAUAUGGAACUCUUUUAUUUACUUAUUUCCACCCUCAUAUCUUUAAAUGAUACGUCGAUUCUUGCUAAUAUCAUGCAUGACAACAAGUAUUAUGCAUCAUUGUAACAUCAUCUUCUAAUGUCAUUUGACAUUCUAAAGAACUCUUUUUAAUAUUUAUUUCUCUGCAAUCAUUUGCACAAAAAAAUGAUCUUAAUACUGUACAAAAAAUUAGAACUUGAUCAGGUAUUAAUUUUUUUUGUAAUUUUGUAAAAUGAUAUGGAAACAAUUUAUGUGUUUGUGCUUUUUAUCAUUUGCCUUUCUUGGGAAAUUGAAAACUAAUGAACAAAUAACAUAGAACUAUAGAUUGUUCCGAGAAUGAUAUUUGCGCCAAGUCGAUCUUGCCUAUUGUUUUUAAUCUUGUUCUUUUCUUUGCCUAGUUCUGCUAAAGAAAAUUUAUCUUUUCUUCUCUGUUUUGUCUGACAGGACUCAUUUGAGCUUCCUCGAGGCGAAGCUUCUAGAGAUGGAGAUAUUGAAUUAGGAACCCAGGUUCCAAUGAAUUCUGGAGAACUGGGGUUGGAAGGCUUCUUCAAACAGGUAACUAUGGCUUCAUUUUGCUUAAAUGAGAGAUGUUUGCUAUUAUUAUUCUUUUGACAAACUAUAUGUACAGCUGUGACUAUAUCAUCCACUAAGCAGUAUAAUAUGCUUUCCUUCUUUCUGUUUCUGACUUAGGUUCAAGAUAUUGAAAAGCAAAUUGAGAAGCUCUCAAAACUAUUGAAGAAGCUUCAGGUAUUGAUGCUUAUGUUAUUUCCAGCUCACAAAGUUUAUUAGAUUAUGUUUUUGUUCAAUAUAGGUGUAAUAUCUUAUCCAUUUUCACUUACAAGGUUUCAAUAAUCUUCCAAUGCACCAUGAAUACCUAUUCGUGAUCACAGCUAGAUUAAACACAUUGUUUCUCAAUGUGGAAUCCCUACAUUUUGGAAAUGGUGGUUUGAUUAAGGUAGCUAUUUUUUGUCUGGCUAGUCUGACCAAUCCUGCCUGAUCUGUAAGAAAUCAUCUGAUUACUGAUUGUGGAUCUUAAUUUUUGAAAUUAAAUUACAAGUCCAUUCCACGUCUUUAAAUUAAGAAUCCAGAUAUUGCCCGUACAGGUUAUAUGGUUUAUAAAAGAAUAGGGAUCAUGAUAAAUUCUAAGAAUGUAAUAGUGUUGGCAUUUAAUGUACUAUUUUUUAUGGAGGGUGUUUGAGCAUGAUAAUACUAUGUUAAUCUCCUAACGUGAUGGGUUUGUAAGGCUUUCCAUUGAGCAUUAGCAAUCAUAUGUGUGCUAAAUGCUAAUUUGUAUAGGCUAGGACAUGGAUGUUCUUAUUUGUGGUUAUUUUGGUGGAAAGGUAAAGUUCUUUCCUAAGAUAAAACAAAUGUAGAAGUUACCUUUUGGCCUAGGCGAUUGUGUGUGGUGUGGAAAAACUACAUAGAUCCGCAUUUUAGUUUCCUGGAGUUGGACCAGCCUUUCAAUGAUUGCAGUCUUAUCGCAGGACUAAUGGAGAAAUAGUUGAUCAUAUAGAGGCAUAACAGUCUUUUCGCAAUGACAUGCUUGUCUUGGUUGAAGCUUGUCUUGCUCUGUGUUCAUUUCUUUUAGGUGUUUGUUAGUUAAAGAAGUGAAACUAUUUUGGAAGGUUUUCAUAAGUCUUCCUUUUGGAGACUAAGGAGAGUGAAAGCCGUUGUUUAGUUUUUUUUUGAGGAAAAGCCUUUAUUUAGUUCUUAGUAGCAGCAAAUUCCAUUUCGGCUUGCAUACCCGCUUCUGAAUCUUUCCACAGAGUCAUUCCUGCACCCACUUCCUAAGCAUUUUGUCUUUAACAUUUUUAAAGAGACCUGCUUCCUUGUACCCACAACCGAACCCACUUCAGGUAACUAAGGUUUACUUGCAAUGCGGCAUAAGUUUUGAAGUGCUUAAUGGGCUUGAACUUGAAAGCCUGAAGGUUUUACUUUGUCUUCACAAGUGGUUGUGGUGACUUUGGAAGUGUUUAAUGGGCUCGAUUUUAAAGUUUGAAGUUUUACUUUGGUUAUGACCAAGUAAAUGGCUGUUUUAUGCUUAAUUUGUGAUCUUAUUCGCACUCUGUUAUUGUGCGGUUGUUUAAAUAUUGUUCCUCCAUAUUCUAAUUCUUCUUUAUAAAGCAAGAUGUUUUAUUUAAUGAAAUUGUAGUACAAGACUAAAACUAUAGUGGUGUUAUUUCAAGUACUUCUAGGGCUCAGAUGGUGAAGAUCUGCUGACUGCUUCUGUUCCUUAAUGAUGACUUAUUGUGCCUCCCUGCUGCUAAGUUUCUGGUUGCAUAUGCAGGAUGCUAAUGAGGAGUCAAAAGCUGUUACCAAGGCAGCUGCUAUGAAAGGUAUUAUGGAGAUUCAAUAGUUAAAUAUAAUUCGUUAGCUAGAUCUUCAAAAGGGAACCUGCAUGCUUCUUUAGGUUCAAUUUUGUCUUCUAGUUGACAUCCAUAGUACAAUUUAGUACAUAACUGGUUGCAGCCAUCAAGCAGCGGAUGGAGAAAGAUAUUGAUGAAGUUGGGAAAAUUGCACGACUAGCAAAAUCAAAACUUGAAGAACUAGACAGAGAGGUAUGCUGCUUCAAUCUUUGGCUUGUUAUAAUGAGAAGAGAAGGCAGUGAAAUUUGCAGUCUGUUUCAAAAUUUUAAUAUUUUCACAUAAAAGUUAGGAAAUAUCUCAGCCAAAAUUCAAUUUAUGAGGCACAUAGGAACGUUUGUUGACUUGUUUGGGAUGGCUUUAUCUUCUUUUUUAUCCAAAGAGUUUUUCAUAGUUCUAUUUUGACCAAUAAUUUUUUACUAUUUGGCACUAUUAGAAGAUUAAUCUUUCAUUUAGUCAUUUUGUUGCAUCUUAUAUAAUUGGUAAAUUUCUCCAAAAAUCCAAGGAAAUUGAAGAUAUGAAGCACUGCUGAUAUUUAAAAUAUUUAUUUGUAUUAUGUUGCUUCUAUUGUGAAUAUUAUUUUCUUGAUCUCUUUUCCAGUGAAGAUCUUUGUUGUUUUCUAUAUCACACUGUAAAAUAUUACCAUUUUUGAACAUUUUUUCUUUUAUUGAUUCUUUGGGAACAUUUUCAAAAUUUCAAUUAAUGCUGUCUCUGUUCUUCACUUUGAGUUAGCUAAGCAUACAUUAGUUCUGACAGAAGUUUUGAUUAUACCACAUUAGUUUCUGUUGAAGAAGAAAUACUUAUCUGGCUUAACUAAUUUAAACAUUUAUAAUUAAGUUUUAGGUAAAUCGUUUUGUUGAAUCAUUUGGGACACUUUUUUUGCUACUUUUCACUUGUAUCAGAGCUAUGAGAAUUUGACUCAAACCUUAAAUCUCACUGACUUCAGGAUUUAUUUCUUACUUCAGAAUCUAGCCAACAGACAGAAGCCUGGAUGUGGAAAGGGAUCAGGCGUCGAUCGAUCUAGGACUGCAACUACCAUGUAAAUUUUCAUGUCAAAAUCAGUGUUCAUUUUCUUAAAUAUUUAUUAUGAGAAGUACUUUGAGUCUUUGACAGUUACAUCUGUCUCACUUACUGAGUUUGAGUGCAGUGCAUUGAAAAAGAAGUUGAAAGAAAUGAUGUCUGACUUCCAGGUAAUGCAUAUAUUCCCCAUAAUUCACAACAAAGCAAUCAUUUUCUGACGACACCUGUAUAUCUCAAUCUUUUUAUUCUACAUUUUUGUGACUUUGUGGUAAAGUUACAUGACUUUUGUUCUGACAGAAGAGGAUUUUGAAGGCAAAAUAAAAGAAAAUGCCUUUUUUUCUUUCUUUACUUAUUUCAUGAGACAAGUUUCUUAUUAUUAUAGAGCAAUAUCUCGACUAUGUUGAGGAAAUUAGUUGGUAAUUUUCAUUAAAUCUAUCAGCCUUCAUGACAGAAUACUGGUACUGAUGCUACAAGUUGGUUACAAAUUUUCUCAAAAGAGAAAGAAACUUUUGCAAACUUAUGAUGUCAUUAUACUUUCCAUUUUCGAAUAGAUUGUUUACUUGAUCUGUGUCACCAUCAAUUUAGUGGUAAGUGAUAAUCAGAAGCAGGAUAAUGCAAGACAAGGUCUCCUAAGCAGAACUUCUUGCAGAAAAUUACUCUUCUUAAAAUGUUCCCAGGUAUACAGAAAAGACUACUUAAAAGUUGAAAAGAAUAAAGGAAUCACUCUACAAAACAAAGAUCUCUCCUACCAGCUCAUCAGCAAAUCACCGCAUAGUACACAAUAGCCCAACUUUCAACAUUAUAAGCAUAUUAUCAUUGAGAAUCUUCUUAAAGUUGACUCCAUGAUAAACUUAACUUUCAAACCAAAGAAGAGUGCCCUGUCGUGAAUUCCUAGAGUUCUCCUGCUUGAAAAUCAUUACACUCCAUAUCCUUGUUAAUGCCCUUAAUUAAAGGGUUUUGGCUUUGCCUAUUCUUUUCUUUUUUUUUAAAAAAAAAAACCCAUCAUAGUGAUGCAAGUGUGUCUUGCUCUUUUUUCUCCCUGAGGCUAAGGCAUCCAUCUAGUCUUGGUUAGAGGAGAGGCGAUUAGGAGAAUGACCUCCUUUAUAUUUAUUAUUGUAGUCAGUAACAGAAACAAAGGAGGAUGGAGCGAUGUAUUUCUUUCCUUCUCCUCUUUGACGGUUUUAAGCAUCUAGUUAUCAUCAGGACCUCCAACCAAUCUCAAAUAGAAGAAAGAUAGUGGACAAUUCCCACUUUUCCCUAUUCAAAACAUCAUCAAUAAGAGCAUAGGAAGUUAGGUGCUAUGAUAUCCAUAGAACAUCCCUUUGGCUUCUACUCAAUGAAAAGUCCUAAUCCUAUCCCUAACAAUGGCAUGUGACAUUAGAUAUAGCACAAGAAUACUUCAGUUAUUUAUCAACAUAUAAAAGCAACACAGAGGAGUCAUCACCUUAAAGCACAUAAGAUAAGUAGGUCAUGUGAGGAUUCAACUAAGAACAAACCACUAGAUCAAGUAAAUGAAGUUUUAAGGAUAGUGACGUGCCUUACUCUUCAUUCAGUCAACAAUUCAACAAUGUAUUUUGCUUUGUAACAUCCAUUUUUCCCAUUGCAUUGGCAUGCAAAAUGAACGAUCACAUAGACUUUUUUAACUCCUAAAGAAGUGAAGUUAUUGAUCCAUCUUGUCUUCUCUUUUAACUGUUCAUAUCCCUCCCAAAAAACCCAUGUAUUGUCCAAUUCUGCUAGGUUGGUAAUCGACUAAGAUGUGCACUGUUUAUUCGUCAGGAGAGUUUGUUUGCUCCCCUUUGCUCUCUUUGUUCAUAUUCUCAAUGAGAUGAUGCUGUUGGGUUUGCUGUCAUUUUGCUCAGGAAAACAAAAGGGUGUACACUUUGCAUAUAUUUUUUUGCCACCAAUUCAAUAAAAUUUUGUUUAUUGCAUUAAAUCUCCAAUGCAACGUUGGUUAUAGGAAGGUUUUACAUUUAAGAGGAGCCUCUGGCCCAAGUAUUGAUGCACUCAAAAUCUCAAACAAAGCAAUGAAGUAAUGCUCCAGCAGUGAAAGGGCAACGUGGAACACAUUCACCAAGUAUAUCUAACUCUUGUUGGUAUUAGUUCGUCCACAACCACCAAACAAGUGCAUAUAAUUUGUUCCAUUCUAAUAAAUGUUUUCUUUGAAUUUUAAUCAUAAAAUUGUCCUGAACAUAUUCAAGAUACAUUAUCUGUAGAAGGAUUCAAUCUACCUCUAAUCUUAAUGGCCCAGUUAAGAGUUAAGCCAACCAUGCGAAAUCCUGGAAGGAUUUUAUCACAGAAGUCAAGAAGAAAUUCAUUUGAUCUUGGUCUACCAGCAAUUGUGCUUGCUAUACCAUUUGAAGUGAUUUUUUGAGCUGUGGGAUCUCUUUAAUGCCAUAAAUCUUGUUUGAUUUCAUAAUAACACUAUUAAGAACGACUACUUCUCUUUCUUUCCCUUGGGUCAGAGCUUGUUAUGGUGGAUUUGUUGCCCACAUUAGUCUGUCUUUUGCAAUCCAAUCAAAUGAAAUUUCUCCUAGUAGCCUGAAUUUUCCCCCCUUCUAGAUGAUUCCUUGAAUAUUUUUUGAAAACUAUAGUUCACCACUACCAGACCCAAAACUGCUUCUAGUUCAGGUAACUAAGGAAUUUUCCCUUCUUUUUUUGAGCUCUCUCUUUCCAUAAUUUUACAAGCACCAUAUGGCACAACUAUAUACAUGCAUGAAUGAGCAAUUACAUAUGAGUGUAUUUGCAUGCAUGUGUGCAUGCUGGGGCUCAGGUGUGUUGGACUGCAGGUGUCUGUCCACCUAUCAUUUUUAAGGUUCUUCUGUUGCUUGAAACAUGCUAAGAAACUCCAGCAAUGCUUAGGUACUUAGAUUUAGUUGCCAAGAUCGGGAAACUAUACUCUUUUCUAAUCACUUUGGACUUCAUAUUUUCUUGCUGACAUGAUUAUUGCAAAAUUUCUCCAUAGUAUUUACUUUCGAUAAAAUUGAAGAAAAAUUUCUGAAUAGUUUGCUCAGCAGUUUCCAAAAAAAUCUGUAUUUAGACCAUGAUCUAUGCUCUAGAGGUUGAUUUCCGUUAGCUUCUCACAAAAAUGAAAUUAAAGAAAAAGGUGCGAAUGAGGAAAAUAAAUGAAACACAAACCAUUUUUUAGAGGUUUUCUAUUGGGGGCAGUUUUUUAGCUAAAAUUAGCCCAUUGAAACUGACCCAUUUCAACCAAACCUAAAAGAAAAGGGGAGGUUUACACUUUGUUUCCUAAAUUGAAUGAUAUGGGUUAAGAAUGUAGAGAAAGUUAUUGUCCUGAUUUAUAUUAUGCAAGAUGAUAAAUUUUUCAUAGUUACCAAGAAAUCUUUAAUUCAAAUCACUAAAUGAUAUUCUCAGUUUCUUAUAUACAAUUUUCGGUGCAGGCUCUGAGGGAAAAAAUUCAGCAAGAAUACCGGGAGGUUGUUGAGAGAAGGGUUUUUACAGGUUUGUCACAGUUGUGUUGAAAAUCAAAAUAUUCUUGUAGAAUGUAUGGAUUAUCUUCUUAGGCUUUUAUUUUUAGCUACUUUGCUCACUAUCUGCUUUAUUUUUCCUUCUGGACUUCCAUAAAAACAGUAACAGGCAAUCGUGCUGAUGAAGAGGUGAGGUAAUUCUUUGUAAAGGCCUAAAUUUUUGGCGGGUCCUACUGCUAAUUUUAUAUUUAUGUUAUUGUAUGGUUGCUUUAAAUUAACAGACAAUUGACCGAAUGAUAGAAACUGGAAACAGUGAGCAAAUUUUUCAGAGAGCAAUUCAGGAGCAAGGACGUGGCCAGGUUUUUCCGAUACAUCAGUAUACAUGUUUCUGAGUCAAAUUUACAUCAUAAUUACUUGGAAAAAUUUCACAUAUGUUUAUUUCUAGACUGCAUCCCUCGUGAAUCUUGACAUGAGUAUAGACAGACUUGAGUGCUAGGGUAUUUUCCUUCUGGUUGCAGGUACUGGACACCCUUGCAGAAAUCCAGGAGCGUCAUGACACUGUUAAAGAAAUAGAGAGGAAACUUCUUGAUUUACAGCAGGUAAUUCUACAUUAGAAAAUGCAAAAUAUUUCAUUAAGUUAUCCUAACCCGACAAAUAAUUUUAUUAUGUCUAAGUUUGGGGGCCAGAUAUGAUUGUUUUUUGAUGAGCUGGCUGACUUAUCAUAUUAUCAUGUAAACAGCCCUAACUAAGACCACUACCAUUAUGAAAAAUAAAAAAGGUCAAUCCUCAACAUUUUAGUAACCAGGAUGCAGCAUAAGCUUUCUAAACUCUGAAAUUUGAUACCGUUGAUUGUGAUCCUAAAUUACAAAAUUGACCAGACCAUAUUAGUUUCGAACAUGGCAAUUUUGUAAUUCCUGCUUUAGUUUCAGCAAUUUUGGUAAAAAUAUCAUCAAGAAAUAAACAAAUGUCAAUUAGAAUAGGGAAAAUAAAAAUGAUAAGAAACUGAUAUGAGUUGAGAAAAAUAGAUUAUACCUUAUUUUUAAAAUAUUAUGUAGGAGCAUUGGAUUACUUUGAUUUCAUGCUGAGAUAAUUAAAAAUACUGUUCUUUAAAACUUUAAGUGCUCAAUAUAAUAUAUUAUUUUGCUGUUUGAUUGCAAUCUAACAAACAGCAAUAGUAAUAGUUUUGAGAUAUGAGUUUUAGAAUAGCCAAGCGUACACCUGAAAAAAUUACCUUUUUCUGUAGAUCUCUUUGGGAUCUAACUUUGCAAUGCUUCCAACUUAUAUCAAACUUGCAAGAUCUCACUUUAAUUUGGAGAAAUAAAGGAAUGCAGAAAUGACAAAAAUUUAACAUAAACUAGUUCUAGCCAGUAACUCCCACACCAACUCCACUUCCUUAUUAGUUUUUGGCUGAAACUGAAACUUUUCAGGUUCGGUCUCAGAGUAUUCAGUAUUAGAUCAAACUUCAAACCACGGAUGAGGAAACCCUAUCUAAAAGAGAUGAUAUUUAGCUAAAGAGCGGAGGAAAACAAAUUAAGAUGUAUUUUUAAAGGACGCAGAAUCUUGAUAUGUCUGUUUGUGUGGUCUAUGAGUUCUGUCCUUGCAGCAUGCUUGUCCUUUCAGAAUCUAAAGGGAGGUUGACUACUUGAAAGAUUCAUCCCUUAAUUUACCUUGUGUUAUGCUUUCCUUUUUCCUUCCUGCUGAUGCUGUUAUUCAUUCUCUCUUGCCACCUAUAGAAACCAUCUAAUCCAAUUUUUUGUAGAUUUUCCUCGACAUGGCAGUGUUGGUCGAGGCACAAGGCGACAUGCUGGAUAACAUCGAAACCCAGGUAUGAUGUCAUCUUCUUGACAAGGACUGGGUAUCUACGAUGGAUAUCAUUACUCUUCAUAAUUGGAAUGGAGUCAUUUAUUAUAUUCCUGGUGCACCGUGUCCGUUCCCGUUCAUUGUUGGUGGUAGAAUGAGGAACAUAUAAAAUUCACAUAAUUGCAAAGGGGAUGCUCUUCUAUGAGCUUUUACGGUUGUGGUAUGUUUUCCUGCAGGUUUCAAGUGCUGUUGACCAUGUUCAGUCUGGAUCGACUGCUCUGCAAAAGGCAAGGAGGCUACAGAAGAACUCCCGAAAAUGUAUGUGCAUAGCCAUGCUUAUCCUUCUCAUAAUCGGCGUCAUUAUUGUUUUAGCUGUGAUCAAACCUUGGUCAAAAAACUGAUAGUGUUUCAGAAGUAGACAUGCUGAAUUACGAUAAGUUACGGAUUGUAUCGUUUUGUAGUUAAUAUGUACAUGUUGCCUGUUAAAUGUAACUUCUUCUGCGUGCUUAAUGACCCAGUCUUGUGCAUUAUUCAUAAUUUCAUAUUGUUGGUUCGGCAUCAAGGCCUCACUUGACUUGAGAAGAAAUGAUCAUGGGGCAGGGAGAUUAUUAGCAGGACCGGCUUCCGCAUUACGUUUAGUCCCUGUUGGCCAAACAUUCUAUUUCUGCUCCUUGGUUUAGAUGGAUAUGUUGUGAUUCCUGGCCCAUGCAUAAGUGCAUAUAUAAGAGGUAUGGUUGUGUAUAGAUAGAUCUAGGUUUAACUUUGGGCAAGGGACUAAACAUACAGAGGAUAACCGAGUAAGGAUUAAUCAUCAAUUUGCGGCCUCUACGAAGGAGACCUUAAAAAAUUAGGGUUACAGGGUCCCUGGCUGGGCAAGUAGCCCUUUACCCUUAAACAGAUGCUUGCUUGGAUUUUAAUCAAGGUUGUGUUUGAGAGUUGUAGAUUGUUUUAACAUUUUUUUUUUGUUAAUUAAUAUAUGCUUAAAUGACUGGUCAACUGAUCCCAUUCAUAGUGUCAGACUCUUGAUCUGUUUUUGUCCUUCACAAGCUUCCUUGCAUGCUUGCACAUCAUGUGGCUAAUGGAAGCAGGUAAUUUCAACCAGAGUGAUGAAUUUAGUCAUCCAACUGAUACCUUCAUCUAUGGAAACAUUCGGAAUUACGUCACACAUUAAAGACAUUAUCAAUACGACUAAAAGUUAUAGUCUGAUCAAUGGAGGGACCGGCUAUCAAUAUAUUGUUAUUUAUAUAUAAAUGGGAUUCAGAAUGACUAGCAACCAUCGUGAAGGCUUUCUUUCUCUUUUACAUUUUUUCUUUAUUUUUUUUAAGAAAUGCCUCUAAAACAGGGCAAGCCUAAUCUUCUUUGCCCGGCAAAUCCAUGAGCUACUAAUAUUUGGUUAGUUCUAAACUAUAAAAUUAUAGGAGAGGGUGGGGGUUGGGGAAAAAACUCACCUGCUAUAAAAUGUGGGAAGGCAUUUUUCAGGUAAGUAAUCAUGUGGCAAGCUAUCAAAUUUCUCAACUUUGAAAUAAAAUUCACAACAGAGGGAAAGAAGGGCAACAUUUUACUUGAAAUUACAGCCAUGCUUGUCACAACUUUGGAAGUGCAAGACCCCAAAAGAAACAAAACCCUAACAUCUUUUUCUUUCUUUCUUUCAAAAUAUUAAAAGAGCUGAAGGGGAUUAAAAGAUAAAAUUCAGAGGUAAAUCAUAAACAAACUCAGCAAAGCUACAUGAGAGUUUUAAGUACGCUACAAAAAAAUAUACAAUUAGGCAGGACACCUUUUUCUCCUCUGAUGCUUAUUUUGAAAGCUCAUUUAGAGAGAGAUUUUUCGCCAACUUUAUGCAUGAUUUCAGCUUUCUUUGCCUAGAACUUAAAGCUGCAACCCACUACCAUAAAAUCUCCCACUCCCAGCUUAAAACAAAGUGAUGUAUAAACCAAGGCACCCAUGAGAGCAUCCUACUUCCAUUCAUUUAAGUGGAUAGAGGAGGGGAAAAAGCAUUGAAGUAAACCAAUUCAGAAGUCUACCAAACACUUCAAAUGCUGCUGAAAAAUAAAAAAUAUCUAUGGAUAGCCAGAAGCCAAACAAGUCUCCCAGAAUACCCGGUCCUCUUCGGUAGAAUCCACUCCUCCUUCUUUCUCUAAUCCCGUCGUCCCCCUCGGCGACCAUGUCAUCACUCUUUCAUUCUCCUCCAUGCUAGCAUCAUCUUCAUCAUCAACACCACCAUCAUCAUUGUUGAAGCUGUUGUGGUUUGUGUGGAUGUUGUCAUGUGGGUCAUGGGUGCAUGACUCUCUGUCAUCUUCAUCAACGACUGCUGCUUCCUCCAUGGUUAGGAUGGUGUGCCCGGCGACGGCAUCCAAGUCGGCCUCUGAGUCGCCGCUGGCUUCCAUUGCUGGUCUCUAGGAAUUAAUGGUUGAGGUCUUGGUGGAUGGAGAGCACAUAUUGCUUUCUAAGGGGCAGAGAAGGCCAUGGUUGAUGUGAUGGGAAGAGUGACUCCAGAAGAAUGGAGAAGUCUGCCAAUGCCUGUGUGGUAUUUCUACUUGCCUACAUCUAUAUGCAAAAUAUGCUGCGAUGACUGAUGGUUAACUUUAUGGAAAACAAUGUUGCAAGAUAACAAGGAAAUAGUUUCUAUUACUUUUUCAAAAGAAUAACUGUGGAAGCAUCAUAUUAUAGAAUUAUCUAGGUUAAAUACACUUAAAAUUAAAAAUGAUACCCCACAAUUAAAAUCCAGACCUCCUCUUAUGUGGAGGAUGGAUGAAUUCACUAGGCUACUAUAACUUAGUUCAUUUUCUCUCCAUUAUUUUGCGAGACUAGAUUUCUUAUGAGCUAAAAUGGUAGAUGGCUGUGAAUCUGAUCGAACUGGCUUGUUUUACAAUUCCACAUAUAGGGUGUAGUUGACCUGAUCUUGAUUGGUUUUUGGUUUGAUCAUUCUCAAACUUAAAAUCAAAGCUGAAGUUUGAGCUUAAUUGCAAUAUGUUUAUUAUUUAAUGGAGUCUAAUUUUACCACAAUCUUAAGCUGCGCCAACGAUGAGUAAUUUCAAUCACGAGGAUAAUCUUAUGUGGAGCCAAAAUUAAUUUGAGUUUGUAUCAAACUCUCGAUUGAGCUUAAAGCAAGUUUCUCGAUCUCAAUCUUCCUUUCCAUCUUUUCUUGAUCAAACUAAGAUGACAUUUUUUGUGUGUGAGAGAGAGGGAUGAGGAAGAGACCCACCUUUACUAUAAAUAAACAGGUUCAGAUUUUUGGCGAUGAACCAUUCAAGAAUCAAACUAGAUUUAGGCCCUAAAAGGAGAAGGAAGGCUGGAAUGCCAACAAACGUUUGUUUAUUCUCUAAUUCAUCCGACCCGAUAGUACCCAUUUUGGGAACGUCCAGUGACAAAUCAUUGGAUGGGUAAGUCACCAAUCCCUAAAAUGAAUGUACUUUAUCUGUUGCCCCUCCAGAGAUCUGAUCCACCUUUCUAUCUGACUACUUUCUACGACGAUUCUACAUGAAAAAAUAGAAUGUCUUUUUCCACGCUACGUGACGAAUGAGAGAUCUGCGCUGAAACUGAAAGUCUACGAGCAACGAGAUUAACUCGGAAGGACGAACUCAGAAAACUUCCAAUGAGGAACUAAUAAAGUGACUGUGAAAAAGCUUUCAGCAACAAAAGAGAGAAGAAAUUUAGUAAGUAGUAGUAAAAAAAAUAUAGUACGCAUUCCCUGCUCCAUCAGAAUGAACUAUUGAUUUACGUAAUUGGAAAUAACUAAUUAGGUGUACGAUAAAAUCUAGAAAUCGAUCACUAAUCUAAUUUGAGUACCUCUAUGGGAUAGACCUCAACAGAAAACUGUUGAGUAACGGCAACAAGAAUAUCUCUUCUUUCCCCUUCCUAUGCAAGCCUUCUUAGCUAAUGGAGACAGAACGGAGUCAUUGACUUUUCCUAUAGAGCGAUAGACAGAACUAAAGUGAAUCUCUCUGUUAGGCAUGAUGACAGUCUACGUUUGGUUGCUGAGCAGAGGGGUGUGACCACCGAGACAAGCCCCAUUUCAAAGUUAAAGGUGAAAUUCAACUAUUGAACUAAACUUAAUAGUUGAUUUACACUAGCUACAAUAUAUAAGAUGCAAAAUUUAUUUCAAACCUAUUCGUUUUAAUUUGACUUGAAAUGAAUUUCAAGCUUAUGUUAGAGUUUUCAAGCUUGGUUCAAUUACAUUUAAAUGAAGCUUGAUUUGCACUUUGAGCUAAGAUCGAGCUGCUCAAACAAACUGGCAACUCUAUCAAAUAGAAAGCAUAAUCUGCUUUUUCCUCGUUCUAGACCCGUAUUUGUUUAAAAGAGAGAAAGAAGAAGAAAAAAAAGAAAAAAUAAUUUUGCGUCGCAUAACCAAUAACUGCAAAUAUUCAGAGCGUCUAAAGCAAGAAAAGAAUUAUUUAGGAAAGAUUGGGAUUCUUAGCACUGUAGCUUACCAAAGAACCCCACAAAAUCCUGCAUAUAGUUGAAUUGUAACUUCCUGUUGCUUGGAUUCUACUAGCACCUUUUGAAAGUUGCACCUGAGCUGUAUGACUUUUUUCUCCGAGAUCUCUUUGUUACUAAAGCAUGCGACAUGCUCCGGUAGCACAGCAAUCUUGUACAAAAAGGGUUCCAUGAGCUCAUGCUUUAGUGGCAGAGGAUUUUCAUGGAGUUGGUUACUAUAACAACCCAGGAUCUCACCAAAAAAAGCUAGCUGGAAGGUAUUAUUUGGACUUCUUGAUCCUAUAUAAGUAUCCAAGAUUUAUCCAGCGAAUAACCGAUGUGGGACUAAAUACGGGCCCGCACAGAUCCUCACAUACUUCCCUCGUUUAAGCCCUGACGUCCUCGUCAGGCUAAGAGUUUAAAUCCAUUUAAAUCUAAUCACAAACACCACGAUCGGCCCGUAGUCAGCCUCAAUGGACCCGUGCUGCAGUGUCUCCUAGUCCACAUAGGUUAUGAGCCAGGUCCGCUCUGAUACCAUUAAUAACCCAGGAUCUCAUCCAAAAAGGUUAGCCGGAAGGUAUUAUUUGGGUUCUUUGAUCAUGUAUAAAUACUUAAGAUCUAUCCAGCGAAUAAUCGAUAUGGAACUAAAUACACGUCCGCACAGGUCUCACAGUUACAGUAGCCAUGCUCCCUAUCUAUAUCAUUGCAAUGCUAGAUGGAGCCAAACAGAAGAAAUGCUCCAUGUGAUUGUUAAUCUGACAUAUUGGUAAGCGUGGUGUUUCCACAUGCAUUGUCGCAUAAUGAUAUGUGAUAGAGUAACCAACUGAGGGCUCCAUCAGCACAAGUUUAUAUGAUACACAAUAUCAAGGGCAGAGCCAGAAAUUUUAUUCAGGGAGCAUCAACAUGUUGCUUAGUAAUUAACCUUUGAAGCUAAAUCAUAAUCCUCGCAAUCGUUUUUUUAUUAUUUAUUUAUAGGAGACAACAACUUUCAUAUCAUCAUUGUUUUCCUUAAAUCUUUCAGUCAAAUAUGGUACAUAAAUUAUUUAUAUCAAUUAUGCAAUAACACUUAAUAGUUCAAAAUCAUUUGCUAAUAAUAUUGUAUUGUGAAAAUAUGUCAGUAUGUUUCAUUUAUUAUUAUAUUAUUUUGUUCAUAAUUUGGAGACUUAAACUCUGAGCAACUAGUGCAUUACAGAGAAAAGGUAGAACUUUUGAUUCAUAUGUUCAAAUCUGUACUAAUACCAACAGUGUGCAAGUCUAUCUUCAAAAUAAAAGCAUAAAAAACCAUAUAUUAAUAAAAAUAAUAAAUAUGUAUAAUAAAAGAAAUAUAUUUAAAGUAACGAAUAAUACUACAAGUAUCAUGUUUUGUCGUACCGGCCUGAAGCCCUGAACCGAGCAGUGCAGGAGUAUACUGUAUCGGUUCGAUACUACGUACCAACACUCAGUAUAUCGAAAAUAUCUUAUACCAUACCGUACCGACAUAGUACUAGUAUGGUACUGAUACGAAAUCCGGUACCGAGAUAACGAAUCUUGAAAUAAUUUUUUCUUUUUCUUUCAGAAUAGAUUUUCUCCUUUUUCUUUUUCAACUUGUCUUAACGUAGUAGAGACUGAGAAGAAAAAAUAAGAAUUAAUUCAUAGGUUUUACACCUCGUUGCUGAGAUGCAAUACGAGCACUCGACAACCCCGAGUACAAGGUAGAUUAAUAAAGACUAACCCAUUCUAUUUAACACAACCUUUCUGGUUAAUUGUGGAACAUAGUUGUACAACUAACAAAUAUUUGUUGUGAAUCAUAUUUGUAGUCUCUUAUGAAAAAUUCAUGCAAUUAGGAUUGUAGAGAAUUCAUUCUCUUGAGGCACAAGACAUGUCAUGAAGCUUUCAUGGUUAUCUCAAGUGACAUCAUGCAUCCUUUAUUCCAAUAUAGUGGCUCGACUGUUCAAGUCCUGCAAGUUAUAUAUAAAUACCCUUGCCAGAAUGAAUGGAGGAGGCUAGGAGAGAGAGAGAGUGCCAGGCCAACUACAGGUAUUCAGUCAGAAUUCUUUACAUGAUACCCUUGCCACAAUGGAUGGAGGAGGUUAGGAGAGAGUGCUGGGCAAAAUUUUUUCAGAAUUAAUAAAAUAUAAUUUGUUUGGAAAUUGAUAUGGUUUGAAAGCCUUACCAUGUCAACCUAUUAGCUUUACAAAAAUGGAUGCUGUUUAAAUCAAUACAGUUGAGUUCUGGUGGAGCAGUUGUAUGACCUGAUAUAACUGAGCUCUAGUUAUAACUAUAUUUCUGCUGAAACAAUUAUUUUAUUAAAUUCUGUCAGUUAUUAACCCUAUCAAAUUUUAACAGAGUAUUUAGCUCAAAAGGAAGGCAUUCCUUAUGGUUCCAAAAUCAAACAUACAUCCCAUCAAAUUCCUUCCCUCUAAUAUCCUGCUAAUUAAUUAACUACUUAAUUGGAUUCUCUAAAUCUAUUAGUGAAAAUUCAACCAACAGAAUUAGUGCUUUUAUUAUAGCUGUGGACAAGCUUCUUGUACACCAGACAGCAACAGCAUAUUACUGGCUGGUAUGGAUUUGACAGGCGAGAUUCUUUCAGACUCAGCUAUAAGGACACCCAGGCCAAUAAAAUGCAGCUUUUUUUUUCAUAGUUUCUAAUAUCAACAGACAUAUCGUAACCUGAUCGUUGGCUCAAAAUUACUUCGUACAAACUUUAUAGCUUAAUAUCAAAACGAAAGGGGAGCCCGUUCAGAUUUUUAUUAAAAAAAAUUGCUAGCAUCAAUAGUAAAAUUGCGUGCAUGUUUAGCACCACGAAAACUAGUGCUUGUUUGGUUGGGCGACAUAUCAUCCGUCUCGACAGAAGCGGCCCAAUAUAUUUGGAGCCUAAGAGCGUUAUGUCUUUGAGACCUUUCCUGUAGUGCGCUGGCCUAAGGCAAACUCAUAGAGAAGCCUUUUUUUCUUUUAUUUUGUCUUUGAGGUUUUUCUGCAUCAAAGAUUGACCAGAGCUUUAGUCGACCACCUCAAUCGUCUAAAGGUUGGGUCGGCCCUGCAUCUCGAAGAUGGAUGCCUGAAGCCCAUUGUAUUGGCGUGCCAAACAUGAUGGAUUAAGAGACGGGUGACGGCCGUCCAAUUUUUGAGAUGGGCGAUGUAUCGUCGAUCUAAACAUGCACCGGCAUCUGCAGAGCAAAACACGCACCAGAGAGGAUGCUGGCUCCGUGGAGAUGGGUGCUGCUAGUAUUGCCCAUCUGAAUGGCAAUUAAGUGCACACAGAUUGGCUCUUGCCCUACGUUGUUCAAGCGUUGUGGUCUAUGGGAGCCACCCUUCCAGAAGAAGGAGAAUAGAUGCCAACCGAGGGAAGCAAUAAUGGAGGAUCCUAUGGAAGGAAAGGUGGCGGAAAGGUGAGAUGGACCCACGCAUGCAGCACCCCUGGCCUUUUUCUAGAAGAAGAGGACAGCCAGCCACACUAAGCUAACAUCUCAUUUACCUUCGAAGGUGAAGGUCAAGAGAAUCAUGGAUUAGAGUUUUAGUGAAGCAUACUGUUUGAUCAUAAACAUUGGUGGACUUUGUUUAAAACCAGCAUGACCUUCAAGAAUAAUGAGAUUUAGAUGGAUGGAUAACAUGAAUGGUUGAUGGGUACAAUACAAGAACUCCGUGUGACUAAAGUUUGAUAUGAAACUUCAGAGUUAGAGCAAGUUUUUAAUAUGGCCUUGUAGUGAUAUAGUUCAAGCAAAGAGAGAAAGUUGAUGUAGCGCCUUCCAGGCAGUGCACGUGUAACGAGAGACGAGCAGAGCUGCAAACUGGGUUGCUUCUUACGCUGCACAGCACUCCAGAGAGAAAUUUUGGCCACACCAGAGGCUCCCCCUCGCACCUGAGCCAGAUUGUAGCCCUUGAUUUUGCUGGCUGCUCUUACACUAGAGUGGGAUGAGCAGCCAUUGUACCAAAAAAAAAAAGAGAGAGAAAGUUGAUGCAUGUUUUAUAACAUAUAACAGUCAUGAUGGUUUGACACCUUUCUUAUGUUAUAUUUGGCAUAUGAAUCACUCUUUCUAUGGGUUUAACCACUUGUGUAUUUGUUAUUUGACUAUGUCCUAUAUAUUUUUUAACUAAGUGAUAGGAGAAACAAGAUAUUGUUUAUAAUUAAAAGUUGUUACUUGUUAAAUUAUCCUCACAUAUGUUAAAUGGUAUACAGUAUGAAAUUUUAGAAUUUUAAAGUCAUCACCUAAUGUAGUUCUUGAUGGUAGUGUAUGCCUUAUAUUUGGUGCGAUGUAAUAAUCCAGCUAAAAUUUCAAUACUUAGAUUUUUUUUGUCUUCAGAAAUAUAAAAAUAGAGAUUCAAUUUCUAUUUUUUCUAUUUAUAAAGAAUAAAUAUAUUAGAUAUAAUCGAUGGUUUUUAAAAUAUUAUUAGCAAUGGCAGCGCCUCCACAAUGCGGUGGAAGUGGUAGUAGUGUAGUGGAGAUUCUUACUUCUGAUGGGGAUGGCAAAGGGGAUAGCAAUAGCAAUGGUAUUGAUAUUAGUAAUAAAAACAUGAAUUUUUUAAUUUUAAAAAUAUUCAAAAUAAAAAUCUUAUCUUUUUUAAAAAAAAUAAAAAUAAUUUUAAAAAUAUAAAAAAAGUAUCAAUCAAGAAAUAAAAGUGAUGCUAAAUGGCUCUUAGCUUUGUUCUUAGAUUAAGUUAAAUAUCAAUCAAGGAAAAGUGGGCACUUAACUGACUAUUACUAACAGCUAUUAGCAUGACCAGACAUAACUGAAAUAUCGAUUCAUCUAGUUAAAUUCAGCGUCAACCCAAACUCAACAUGAAUUCAACAAAAAAUUUAUUUAGACAUGGGAUUGAAUCCUACUUAUGAAACCAAUGAAACCAUAGAAUACUUGCAAGAAGACCGUCACCAACCCCAUGUUUCAACAAGGGACAGGCUGAAUACGACAUGACACAAAACACUUCCUUUGAUCACUCUAUGAGUAAGUUUGAUCAGAUUUUAGCCUAUAACAUGUUCCUAGCCCUUCACCCCAUCACUUCCCAAUAAUACAGUAAACCUAGCAGGUCACUGCUUGAUCUUGCUGCUGAAUGAGGAAAAGAGAGUGCAAGGUUGCGACAUCUUUAUGCUUGCCAUCCUACUACUAGAGCCAAGAUAUUCACUAGCUCAUGUCAUAUGUAACUUAAUUUUCAAGGCAGAAUGAAAUCUAACUGUGACCAUCUUCAGGAAGCUCUUACAAAUCAGUAAUGAUCGUCAAAGCUUCUAAUCAUAUACAAGACUUGAAAACAAAAUCAAGUAUACUGGAGAUACAAUGGAGCCUAUGCCACUUGCAAAGCUUUCACUAGAUUCACAUAGGACUUGCGUAUCACUAACCUGCUGGAGACCAAGACCAUCAGCAAAAGUUCCAGAAACCAAGUGCAGUAAUUAGAUCGCAGAAAGGCAUAGAACCCAAGAAUCAAUCAACUAGAUAUGAGCAAAGAAUUCUAGAAUGAACAUAAUUCAGCAACAGUAUGCAACAGAAGCUGCUGGCUCUACCAUUACCAGGUUAAUGUAAUUUGAGAAAGAAUGUGCAAACAUGCAGGAGCUUAGGUGCUAGUGAAGUUGCUAACCACUCUUAGCUUUGCCGGUUGGCAGCCCUCCACUUGGACCAGGUCCAUGGUUCAAACACUGGUGGUGUCAUUCCCACCGUAUUUCUCAUUAAAAAAAAUAAUAUUAAAUUUAGCUUUCUCACAAUUAAACAAUAACUAUCAAGUUGUUGAUCUGUAGAAGAGUACAUAAAUUAAUUUUUUCUCUGUAAUUCAACACUAAAAUUAUGCUCUCUUCUGAAUCUUAUACAAGUAUACCUUGGUCAUAUUAACAUGUUAUUUUGGUAGGAGAUAACAGAAGACUGCAUCUGGAAAGCUAAGAAGCACUGUGAAGAGGAGUUGCCUGAAAGCAGACAACAAAAUAGAGGUCCACUAAGCAUUUCUUCUUCCUCCAAAUCUAAGCCUAAGAUUAUCAAGCGUGCGUGAAACCAUUAGAAGCCGCGGAUCAUCUGCUGGUAUCUCCCGUCUCUGGAAUAAAGAGAACCCAUUAAGUAUUUUCUCAAGGCACCAUAGACAGUACAUUAAUAGGAAUCCAUGACCUUAAGACAAUGACGCAUAACAAUGGUAUGACCUUGUCCACUCAUAAUGCUGACCAUUUUAAGGCCAGGUAGACACAUAAGGCCAUAAAAUUAUAUGCAUGCACUUAUUAGAAAAUAACCCCAUAUACUGUUUGUCUACUUCUUACACAACCAGCUUGAGUGACUUAACUAUGUUAAAGCAUCAUAUGCAAGAGUAAAAGGAAACAUAUAACCUUUAAACCCUCGUGGUAGGCCUCGACCGCAGGAAGAGAAGGAUUGAUCCUGCGGCUUUGCAAUAGAUCCCAUAUAUAAUUGGCGGUAGUGUAUCCACCCAUCUGCAUACAAUUAUCAAAUUAAUGUAUUACUAGAGUUCAUUGAAGUACAAGUUUCUCAGCAUUAUAAUUUCAUUCCAGAGCAUCUAAAGACAAAUAAAUCAAGCACUUAAUAUAAUUCUUUCAAAAACCUUCUACAAGUCCAGCAUUACAUGCAGUUGACCUAACAGAAACCUUCAAUGCACUCAGCACUAGCUCAUGACAGCCAAUAGUCAGAUUAGUCAUUAAACUUCUCAGGACAAUGUGAUCAUUGACUUUAAAAUAUACAUAUAUACAUAUAUACAUACAUACAUAUAUAUAUAUAUAUAUUGGAAGAAACAUAAAUGGAGAAAUCACUGCCUAUUUUAGCAAUCAAAAUUAUAUUCGUCUGCUUACCUUUUCACCUGCAGCUGCCAAGAGGAGAUCAUUUCCCAUCUUGGCAUUCAAGAAAAAUCCUCGUGCACUCAUUUUUUCCUGACAAAGAUAGUAAAAUUUAUUAUGCAAGUGUAGAAACUUUGAUCAAAGUGACAAUCAGACUCAAAAUCAGAGGAAUCAAUUACCAGGGUAUCUUGAGCAAGUUGCAUCCCUUGAGGAGUAUAACCAACCAUUGCUCCCUCAACUAGCGUCUAUGAAAUCACAAGUACAAGAAAUUAACACAAUAAAAAUUUAACAUAUCAUGAAGUAGAUUAUUCAAGCAGAAAAUCAUCUUUGUGCAAUAUUUCUUUGCAACAUGAAAAGCAACACAAAAAGCUAGGCCACAAUAAGAUCAUAAAAUCAAUGCUUAAGAGGGAAUUGCAACAUCUACCUUUUUCCUUCUUCCUCUCCUAUUUUUGCUAAAAUUAACUUUUUUGUCUGCUUCCUCUUUCAAUUUUUGCUUUUUUUCCUUCAUUGAUUUUGGUAGAAAAAAAAAGGUUGAAUUCUAAUUGACCAACUUGCACAUCUCUUGUGGAAUAUAUCAAAAUAUCAUCUCAAUUCAUACAAGAUUUCUGGUUCACUUGUCAAUUCUGAUUUAACCUAUAUGGUCAAAUUCUUAGGUCUUGGCCUAUGGAUCCUUGUACCCAUCAUCCAAAAACAGCAUAAGCAUUACAUGUCGCAAGCAUUAAAGACUCACAUGUGCUCAUGACCUGUGCAAACAACAAAAACUUAUGUAUGGCAUUCUUCCAUCAUAAGUUGUCAGUCUGCAUAGUAUAGCACAGAAUAUCUUGUUUCUGUAACAUGUCAUUAUUUAUCAGAAUUUAGGAUAUCUGGACCCAUUUCUUAUUUAUAUUUUACAUGUUUCUAGAUUUUCUACGAGUUUAUUUGGUCACCUUUGGAUUUUCCUUGAUUUUUCUAAUUAUUUCAAGCACUCAAAAUUGUCUCCCUCAAGGGAUAACAUAUGUAAGGCAUAUUAUUCUCUCGCACACAUGAAUACUCAAAAGAUUUUCCUUUUGUACUUUCUAUGUUGAGUGAACAUAUAAUAUUGAUAUUGAUUAUAAAUAUCAGAUAAUUUAUCGGAACACAUUAUCAAUCACUUCUCUAGCACUUCACCUAUAGCUUCUUGAAAAUUUUCAGUAUAAUCAAUGCAUGUAAAUUCUCCAAACUAAUGCACCAUUAUUAGUUCAGGAUAUAUUACAUAAAUGAACAUUUUGCACAAGUAUUGGCAGUAGAUACCAAGUAUUGGUAGUAGUAGUAGUAAGUGUUACAUAACGUACAUUACAUAUACGUAAGUAGUUACUAAGUUAUAACUUAGAAAAAAAUGCAUGAAAAUUUACCAUAAACAAGUAUAACUAUUGUCGUGAGGGAAGAGUAGAUGCACCUAUGAUACAGCGAUUCAUAUAAUUGUAAAUUUAAUAACCUUGUACCGGAGAUAACAUAGAUAAUUGAAUAUAUAUAGAAUUUAUGAAAAGGACAUGCAUUAAUGCAAAUGGUAGUGGAUGAUCAACUUAGUGCAGCUUAAUUGUCAAAAUGCAACCACAUCGAGCACCCACAUCUUUUACAAGUAUUGAGCCAUGCUAAAAGAGUACCAUGAGAGAGCAUAAUAUUAAAUUCUCUACUAGCUGUAGAAUUGCAUUCUUCGUUGGUUUCCAUGCAGGGAUAUUUCAAACCUUGUUUAUAUGCAACUAGUGGUGGUUCUACUUGAUGAAUUGGCAAAAUAAUUAUCAUGGGUCAAUGUUCCAAAAGCUAUCUCAGUAUUUUAAUGUCUUUAUAUCAUCACAAUUAGCCAUGCCGUUCAAAGAAAAAUCAUUGAUCCCCUAUGACACUCGGACACUCCAUUUUCAAUGACACAACAUGACACGACACAACACAGGUAGAUGAUUCACUUUGAAGUGUCCUGCUGAUGUUAACAAACAGUGUCCAACACUUGGCAUUUUCUUUGGAGUGUCAUGCAGGGGACUCUUAAUUCUAAGUGCUGCACACUUUAUAAUGUUAUCAAGAUUAUUCAGACACUUUAAGCAAAGUGUCAUUAUAUUUUUAAUAUGAAGCUAUUGCUACUAUAAGAACACUUAAGCAAAAUGUCGUUAUGUUUUAAAUGUAAAUGUAUCAGUAAUUUCAAUUUUCUCUUAUUUUGAAUAAACAUAUAUGUGUUUGCAUAUGUAUGUAGCAUACGUACAAACAUAUAUACACAGCCAUAUGUAUGUAUGUAUAGAUAUGCACGCACACAAAUAUACCAUGUCCGUAUCCUUGUGAAGAGAUUUUUGCAGGUUAUUGUGUCCGACAAUUGAGGACAUGUGGAUACUUGGCACCCAUGCUAAGUAUCCAAGUAACGGUGCUGAUCAUAUAAUCCAUGUUUUCUGGGAUACCAGCAGGAUCAAUAGGCUACCAAUUCUUUCCACUUCCCUUUCUUCUGCCACCUCUCCUGAGACAAACCCAAUUUGUGUGGGAGAUGUCACAUGGAUACACAGCCAGGAACCCACAUAGGUCCAAAAUGAAUGCUAUAAUGAUGACAGAAAACCACAAGCAUUUACAUUCUAAGUUCCAAGAAGCAGCUAGUUAAACAAACCAUUUUUUACUGAAAGAUAGAAUUUGCCAGGUGACCAAUCAUAUCAACAGACUCACCACAUACAACUCAGCAGUCGGGGGUCUUGAACUUGUAUACUCCUCAAAAAUCUUAACACCAGAAUCCAUAUCACCGCAAUGGAAAUAACACCUGUUUUAAGGCAGAAUACUAGUAAAUAUCAGUAACACAGAAAGUUUAGAAUAAAGUAACAAUGAUUAAUAUAUAAUUAUAACUCAAAGCAAAUGAUAACGCAUGAUAAGCAAAAUCUCUCAAAAGGUGUUAUUUCAGAAAUGCUGCAUAACAAGUACAUUUCUACAUCUGCAUGGCUGGCAUGUGAAAAACAAGAAACAAACUCUACAAAGAUUUGUCAAAUAACUGAAGACUCCAAACAGAUUCUACCUGAAGAGGGCAUGGUCACACCAACUGCCUUCUUGAUGAAAAUAGCCUUGUUGGAUAAAUGUGAAAUGACAAGCAUGGAGAAUGUCUCACAAACACAAACAUAAUCUCAGUAACAUACAAGGCAAUAUCUUGUUUGCUUGUAUGUGUGUUAUAACAUUCAUAUUAUGAUAUCAUUAACAAAGGUCGUUAUACAGCAUUCACAGUCAAUAUGCAACCAUGCAUAGUGGUACCUACUGGUUAAAAAAGUAAUUAAUUAUUAUGACAGUAUUACAGCCCUUACAUCAGAGAUCAAUAAGAGUAAAAGAAACUUAAUCACUGAAUAUGAAGAUAGCCUUAAAUCCACUUCUCUUUGAAAUCGUGCUGGCAGACAGGUCAGCUAGCACACAGACGGUUUCAUCUAACAUGUUCCUCCACUCAGUUGCUAAUCCAAUAUGUCCCCCAAUUUAAAUGGCAAAAUUAUCAUUAUGCCCAUCUACACUUAUCUAAAGUCAACAAAUUUUGUCAAUUAUAAACUUGUAGUCCAUUAGCUCCACUCUAUCAUGGCGAACCAUGCAUAUUCACCCUAUCAAACA
rnacentral:lncRNA from 1 species